rnacentral:rRNA from 1 species
GAUGAACGCUAGCUACAGGCCUAACACAUGCAAGUCGAGGGGAAACGGCAGCUUAGCUCGCUAAGCUGGACGUCGACCGGCGCACGGGUGAGUAACGCGUAUCCAACCUGCCCCACGGUGAGGGAUAACCCGCGGAAACGCGGCCUAAUACCUCAUGGCCUCCGAGCUUGACAUCAAUCUUGGAGUAAAGAUUCAUUGCCGUGGGAUGGGGAUGCGUCUGAUUAGCUUGUUGGCGGGGCAACGGCCCACCAAGGCUACGAUCAGUAGGGGUUCUGAGAGGAAAGCCCCCCACAUUGGAACUGAGACACGGUCCAAACUCCUACGGGAGGCAGCAGUGAGGAAUAUUGGUCAAUGGGCGAGAGCCUGAACCAGCCAAGUAGCGUGCAGGAUGACGGCCCUAUGGGUUGUAAACUGCUUUUAUGCGGGGAUAAAGCGGGCGACGUGUCGCCCCUUGCAGGUACCGCAUGAAUAAGGACCGGCUAAUUCCGUGCCAGCAGCCGACGG